UGCGUAGGCGGGCUAAUAAGUCAGUGGUGAAAUCUUUCGGCUCAACCGAGAAACUGCCAUUGAUACUGUUAGUCUUGAGUUCGGUUGAGGUAGGCGGAAUGUGUAAUGUAGCGGUGAAAUGCUUAGAUAUUACACAGAACACCAAUUGCGUAGGCAGCUUACUAGACCGACACUGACGCUGAGGCACGAAAGCGUGGGGAGCGAACAGGAUUAGUACCCUGGUAGUCC
rnacentral:rRNA from 1 species